AGUGAACGCUGGCGGUAGGCCUAACACAUGCAAGUCGAACGGCAGCACAGUAAGAGCUUGCUCUUACGGGUGGCGAGUGGCGGACGGGUGAGGAAUACAUCGGAAUCUACUUUUUCGUGGGGGAUAACGUAGGGAAACUUACGCUAAUACCGCAUACGACCUACGGGUGAAAGCAGGGGAUCUUCGGACCUUGCGCGAUUGAAUGAGCCGAUGUCGGAUUAGCUAGUUGGCGGGGUAAAGGCCCACCAAGGCGACGAUCCGUAGCUGGUCUGAGAGGAUGAUCAGCCACACUGGAACUGAGACACGGUCCAGACUCCUACGGGAGGCAGCAGUGGGGAAUAUUGGACAAUGGGCGCAAGCAUGAUCCAGCCAUACCGAGUGGGUGAAGAAGGCCUUCGGGUUGUAAAGCCCUUUUGUUGGGAAAGAAAAGCAGCAGGUUAAUACCCCGCUGUUCUGACGGUACCCAAAGAAUAAGCACCGGCUAACUUCGUG
rnacentral:rRNA from 1 species